rnacentral:rRNA from 1 species
UUACUGAGUUAUCAAACUCCAAACCCUUUGUGAACCUUGCCGUCGUUGCCUCGGCGUGAGCUACGGCUACCCUGUAACUACCCUGGAGCUACCCUAGAGUUACCCUAUAGCUACCCUGCACUUACCCUGCAGCUACCCUAUAGCUACCCUGGAGCUACCCUGGAGCUACCCUGUAGUCGGCUUCGGCCCGCCGAAGGACCGUUAAACUCUUGUUUUUACCACUGUUUCUCUGAAUUCUAAACUAAAAUAAGUUAAAACUUUCAACAACGGAUCUCUUGGUUCUGGCAUCGAUGAAGAACGCAGCGAAAUGCGAUAAGUAAUGUGAAUUGCAGAAUUCAGUGAAUCAUCGAAUCUUUGAACGCACAUUGCGCCCACUGGUAUUCUAGUGGGCAUGCCUAUUCGAGCGUCAUUUCGACCCCUAAGCCCCUGUUGCUUAGCGUUGGGAAUCUACGGCGUAGUUCCUCAAAGUUAGUGGCGGAGUUAGGGUACACUCUCAGCGUAGUAAUUUCUCUCGCUCGUGUGGUGGCCCUGGCYGCUGGCCGUUAAAACCCCUAUAUUUUCUAGUGGUUGA